rnacentral:rRNA from 1 species
GUGGGGAAUAUUGGACAAUGGGCGAAAGCCUGAUCCAGCAAUGCCGCGUGAGUGAUGAAGGCCUUAGGGUUGUAAAGCUCUUUUACCCGGGAUGAUAAUGACAGUACCGGGAGAAUAAGCUCCGGCUAACUCCGUGCCAGCAGCCGCGGUAAUACGGAGGGAGCUAGCGUUGUUCGGAAUUACUGGGCGUAAAGCGCACGUAGGCGGCUUUGUAAGUUAGAGGUGAAAGCCUGGAGCUUAACUCCAGAACUGCAUUUAAGACUGCAUCGCUUGAAUCCAGGAGAGGUGAGUGGAAUUCCGAGUGUAGAGGUGAAAUUCGUAGAUAUUCGGAGGAACACCAGUGGCGAAGGCGGCUCACUGGCUCGAUACUGACGCUGAGGUGCGAAAGCGUGGGGAGCAAACAGGAUUAGAUACCCCAGUAGUCC